GAUCGCCCGAGCUAGCUAGCCAGGGCCCCUCCCCGAUCUGCUCGUUGGCCAUGGCGGACGAGCCGGCGCUGCCGGUGGCGGCGGGGAGGGACAAGGACGAGCGCCGCCGCUUGAUAGGCAGGUGCGCGCUCGCCGUCGUCGGCAUCAUGAGCACCCUCCUCGUCUACGGCGUCCUCCAGGAAAAACUCAUGAGAGUUCCCUAUGGAGCAGAGAAGGAGUUCUUCAGAUACUCACUAUUUCUUGUUUUCUGUAACCGUAUCACCACAUCCAUGGUGUCUGCACUCGUGUUACUGUCGAGUAAGAAGUCCACGGACCCAGUGGCUCCAAUCCAGAAAUACUGUGUUGUCUCCUUCUCAAACAUACUAACCACAACUUGCCAGUACGAGGCCCUCAAGUAUGUGAGUUUCCCUGUCCAGACACUUGCCAAAUGUGCAAAGAUGAUUCCUGUUAUGAUUUGGGGCACGAUAAUUAUGAAAAAGAAGUAUGGUGGAAAAGAUUACUUCUUUGCAGUCAUUGUGACCAUGGGCUGCUCAUUGUUCAUUCUAUACCCGGCAUCAAUGGAUGUUAGUCCACUUAAUAAAGGCAGAGAAAGUACUGUUUGGGGUGUUUCGCUCAUGCUUGGUUAUCUUGGAUUUGAUGGUUUCACAAGCACCUUCCAAGACAAACUCUUCAAAGGGUAUGAGAUGGAAAUUCACAACCAAAUAUUCUACACGACAAUGUGCUCUUGUGUUAUUAGCUUGAGUGGGCUUAUUCUCCAGAAUCAUCUUCUUCCAGCUGUGGACUUUAUGGUUCGUCAUCCAGAUUGCUUCUAUGACGUCCUAAUCCUAUCCACUGUUGCAACAGCUAGCCAGUUCUUCAUAUCCUACACUAUCCGGACAUUCGGGGCUCUCACAUUCGCUACCAUCAUGACAACCAGACAGUUGGUGAGCAUACUACUGUCCUGCGUCUGGUUCGUGCAUCCCCUUAGCUGGAUGCAGUGGGUUGGAGCUGCCAUUGUAUUCGGAGCCCUGUACGCCAAAACCUUCUCAAGAAACAAAUCGCAGAAGGCCGCGGUCGCGAGCUCAUCGUCGCAGGGUUCUGUGCCAAAUGCUGCUAACAGUUGACCAGAAGAAAUAACAAAUAGGAACACGGAAGGUUUGAUCCACUUGUCACUUUGCUGUACUGGAUGAAAAUUUCCAUGUCGGAGGCGAGUGACAGGCAUCCUAACAAAUUGACUGAGAGAACAGAUUGUAGAGUCAUGCCUUGGCUCCGAAUCAUCAACCUGGGGAGCUCUGAAAGGCUUAGCUGAAGGCCCAUUAGUUUGUUGAUGCACAAGAGUGAUCGGGGCUGCCGACAUUUUUCUCUGAGGCCGUUCGCUGUUAGCUACAGUAACACAAUGUUGUGAUGUAAACUGUAAACCUGACGAUUUACUCCAUAGAUAGAAAAAGUCUUUCCACCCAUAAGAGGGAGGAAAGGCUGAGAUUUUUGUGCGUGCAGCGCGUUACCUUGCACUGAAUUUUUCAUGGCUGAUGGUGUGGUGUAGAGUUGAUCGUGCCAUAGGACCGAGCGAAUCACGUUCGCGAGAUAAUUGUGAUUUUUCGUUUCAUGGAGACUAUAUACAUGCAUGAAUGGGC
rnacentral:rRNA from 1 species